rnacentral:rRNA from 1 species
UUAUUAUUAAUUUUUUUAUUUUUUUUUCGUAUUUAAUUAAAGUAUUUUGUUGGUUUAAGUAUUAAAAAUAGAAAUGAUUGUUUAAUUGAUAGUUAAUUUUCACUGUAAAGGAUAAAUAUUUAUUUAUUUUGGAAGUCGAUUUUUAUUGUACCUUUUGUAUCAGGGUGAAUUUAUUAAUUAUAAUUUAUUUUAUUUUCCCGAAGAUGUAUUAUUUAAUUUUUAGUGUUGGUUAGUGUGAUAUAACUAUUAAUAACUUUAUUUUAGUAGUGAAAUAUUAUUCGAUUGUGUUGGUAUCUGGUUUCUUAAGAUUAAGUUUAAUUUUAUAUUGUUUUGUUUUAUCUAAUUUUUAUUUGUUGGAAUUAUUCAGUAUUACGUUUAUGGGGAUAAUCUCUUUAUCAGUUUAAUAAUUUUAUUUAUUUAUAAUUUUUGUAGGCUUAGAAUUAGCAUUCAUAUAAUUAUGUAAUUGUUUAUUUUAUUUAUUUGGGUUUUUAUUAUUAUUUUAAUUUUUAUUAAGAUAUUUAUUUUAACUAUUCUAUUAGUAGUUAAUAUUGGUUUAAUUAGUAUAAUAUAUAAUUGUUUUAUAGGAAUUCGGCAAUUUAUUUUCCACCUGUUUAUCAAAAACAUGGUUUUUAGUAUUUUUGUUGAAGAUUUAGUCUGCCCAAUGAUUUGAUUUUAAUGGCCGCAGUAUAUUAACUGUGCAAAGGUAGCAUAAUAAUUAGUCUUUUAAUUGAAGUCUUGAAUGAAUGAUUGGAUGAGAAAAUAUCUUUCUUUGUUAUCUUAUUUUAAUUUAAUUUUUAAGUGAAAAAGCUUAAAUUUUUCCAUGGGACGAUAAGACCCUAUAGAACUUUAAAUUAUAUGGGAAUAAUAAUUAUAUUUUGUUUAUUUUUAUUAUGGUUCUUUUAUAUUUUUUUGUUGGGGUGACAAGUUAAUUUUCAUAAUUUUAUUUUAUUAUAUCAUUGAUUUAUGUUUUUGUGAUCCAUUAUUAUUGAUUAAAAGAUUAAGUUACCUUAGGGAUAACAGCGUAAUUUUGUUGGAGAGUUCUUAUCGAUAACUAAGUUUGCGACCUCGAUGUUGGAUUAAGAUUAGAAUAAGGGGCAGCUUUUUUAUUUCUAGGUCUGUUCGACCUUUAAAUUCUUACAUGAUCUGAGUUCAAACCGGUGUAAACCAGGUUGGUUUCUAUCUUUGGAUAUAUUAUUUUGUUUCAGUACGAAAGGACCAUUACAAGUAGUUUAUAGUUUGUUUUUGAAUAUUAUU